UACGGAGGGUGCAAGCGUUACUCGGAAUUACUGGGCGUAAAGCGUGCGUAGGCGGUUCGUUAAGUCUGAUGUGAAAGCCCUGGGCUCAACCUGGGAAUGGCAUUGGAAACUGGCGACCUAGAGUGCGGUAGAGGGUAGUGGAAUUCCCGGUGUAGCAGUGAAAUGCGUAGAGAUCGGGAGGAACACCUGUGGCGAAGGCGACUACCUGGACCAGCACUGACACUGAGGCGCGAAAGCGUGGGGAGCAAACAGG
rnacentral:rRNA from 1 species